rnacentral:rRNA from 1 species
UACGUAGGGGGCGAGCGUUGUCCGGAGUUACUGGGCGUAAAGCGCACGCAGGCGGUGCUGCAAGUUUGGGGUGACAGCUCCCGGCUCAACCGGGAGAGCGUCUCGAAGACUGCAGGACUUGAGGGCCAGAGAGGGACACAGAAUUCCGGGUGGAGUGGUGAAAUGCGUAGAUAUCCGGAGGAAUACCAAAGGCGAAGGCAGUGUCCUGGCUGGUACCUGACGCUCAGGUGCGAAAGCUAGGGGAGCGAACGGGAUUAGAUACCCAGUAGUCC